CUUUAAAGGCAGCUUCAUUGCCAAGAUCCCUGCUGCUCUCUAGAUGAAGAGGAGGGUGCAGCACCCCAGCAGCCCACAGGAGCCUGAAGCACAGGGCUUUUGAGCACUUCUGCUUUUGGAGAACCAUGGCAGUGUCUGGUCUGCUGGAGGCAAGCAGAGGACAACUGAACUGGAAGGAAUCCUGGUCCAUAUCUUCUGCUUCAUCCCUUAGGAACAGCCAAGAACCAUUGCUGCCUAGUGACAGGCAUUUUCAUCUGGAUAAUUAGUUUUCUGCAAACAGCUUCGGAGUCAACAAAUUGGCACUUUCUGGAGGAAAAAUACAUUCUGUUGGAGAAUUUGUGACCAUUGUUAAUUAAGAGCCCCUGUGAAUUUAUAGCUUCCAGUCAUCUCUGAGUGGCUCAGGCUUGGGCUGAGAAGUACCGUUUCCGUUCUGAAUUUGGUCAAAUAUUGGGAUGGAUGGUCUGUCUACAAACUCCUCUGUGUAGUUCACAAGUGCCUCCCGCACAACUUCGUACCCGGUCAGGACCACA